GAUCCUGGCUCAGAGUGAACGCUGGCGGCAGGCCUAACACAUGCAAGUCGAACGGCAGCACAGUGGAGCUUGCUCCAUGGGUGGCGAGUGGCGGACGGGUGAGGAAUACAUCGGAAUCUGCCCAGUCGUGGGGAUAACAUAGGGAAACUUAUGCUAAUACCGCAUACGACCUACGGGUGAAAGCGGGGGAUCGCAAGACCUCGCGCGAUUGGAUGAGCCGAUGUCCGAUUAGCUAGUUGGCGGGGUAAUGGCCCACCAAGGCGACGAUCGGUAGCUGGUCUGAGAGGAUGAUCAGCCACACUGGAACUGAGACACGGUCCAGACUCCUACGGGAGGCAGCAGUGGGGAAUAUUGGACAAUGGGCGCAAGCCUGAUCCAGCCCAUGCCGCGUGGGUGAAGAAGGCCUUCGGGUUGUAAAGCCCUUUUGUCCGGAAAGAAACGCCUCGGAUUAAUACUCUGGGGUAAUGACGGUACCGGAAGAAUAAGCACCGGCUAACUUCGUG
rnacentral:rRNA from 1 species